rnacentral:rRNA from 1 species
AUUGAACGCUGGCGGCAUGCCUUACACAUGCAAGUCGAACGGUAACGCGGGGCAACCUGGCGACGAGUGGCGAACGGGUGAGUAAUGCAUCGGAACGUACCCAGUUGUGGGGGAUAGCUCGGCGAAAGCCGGAUUAAUACCGCAUACGACCUACGGGUGAAAGCGGGGGAUCGCAAGACCUCGCGCAGUUGGAGCGGCCGAUGGCAGAUUAGGUUGUUGGUGGGGUAAAGGCUCACCAAGCCGACGAUCUGUAGGUGGUCUGAGAGGACGACCGGCCACACUGGGACUGAGACACGGCCCAGACUCCUACGGGAGGCAGGAGUGGGGAAUUUUGGACAAUGGGGGCAACCCUGAUCCAGCCAUGCCGCGUGCGGGAAGAAGGCCUUCGGGUUGUAAACCGCUUUUGUCGGGGAAGAAAUCUUCCGGGCUAAUACCCCGGGAGGAUGACGGUACCCGAAGAAUAAGCACCGGCUAACUACGUGCCAGCCGCCGCAGUAA